rnacentral:rRNA from 1 species
CCUACGUGAGGCAGCAGUGAGGAAUAUUGGUCAAUGGGCGCGAGCCUGAACCAGCCAAGUAGCGUGAAGGAUGACUGCCCUACGGGUUGUAAACUUCUUUUAUCAAGGAAUAAAGUGAGGCACGGGUGCCUUUUUGUAUGUACUUUAUGAAUAAGGAUCGGCUAACUCAGUGCCAGCAGCCGCGGUAAUACGGAGGAUCCGAGCGUUAUCCGGAUUUAUGGGGUUUAAAGGGAUCGUGGAUGGGUUGUUAAUUCAGUUGUGAAAGUUUGCGGCUCAACCGUAAAAUUGCAAUUGAUACUGGCAGUCUUGAGUACAGGUGAGGUAGGCGGAAUUCGUGGUGUAGCGGUGAAAUGCUUAGAUAUCACGAAGAACUCCGAUGGCGAAGGCAGCUUACUAAACUGCCACUGACAUUGAUGCUCGAAAGUGUGGGUAUCAAACAGGAUUAGAUACCCUUGUAGUC